rnacentral:rRNA from 1 species
CUUGCUUCUUUGCUGGCGACCGGCGCACGGGUGAGUAACACGUAUCCAACCUGCCCUUUACCCGGGGAUAGCCUUUCGAAAGAAAGAUUAAUACCCGAUAGCAUAAUGAUUCCGCAUGGUUUCAUUAUUAAAGGAUUCCGGUAAAGGAUGGGGAUGCGUUCCAUUAGGUUGUUGGUGGGGUAACGGCCCACCAAGCCUUCGAUGGAUAGGGGUUCUGAGAGGAAGGUCCCCCACAUUGGAACUGAGACACGGUCCAA